GAUGAACGCUGGCGGCGUGCCUAAUACAUGCAAGUCGAGCGAAUAGAUUAAGAGCUUGCUCUUAUGAAGUUAGCGGCGGACGGGUGAGUAACACGUGGGUAACCUGCCCAUAAGACUGGGAUAACUCCGGGAAACCGGGGCUAAUACCGGAUAACAUUUUGAACCGCAUGGGUCGAAAUUGAAAGGCGGCUUCGGCUGUCACUUAUGGAUGGACCCGCGUCGCAUUAGCUAGUUGGUGAGGUAACGGCUCACCAAGGCAACGAUGCGUAGCCGACCUGAGAGGGUGAUCGGCCACACUGGGACUGAGACACGGCCCAGACUCCUACGGGAGGCAGCAGUAGGGAAUCUUCCGCAAUGGACGAAAGUCUGACGGAGCAACGCCGCGUGAGUGAUGAAGGCUUUCGGGUCGUAAAACUCUGUUGUUAGGGAAGAACAAGUGCUAGUUGAAUAAGCUGACACCUUGACGGUACCUAACCAGAAAGCCACGGCUAACUGCGUGCCAGCAGCCGCUGUAA
rnacentral:rRNA from 1 species